CACGUUAGCAGCUUAUCUUGGCACCAUCCAACUGACUACUUCCGAUACUAUUUCGGCAGAUUGUACUGCAGCGUUAAAAGCUAAUUCUGCACUUGACGGACGUUUCCUUACCAUAUUUACCGAUCAGGCAACUGUUCUACCAGCCAAAAUCACAUGGAUGUUCCCGUCCACUUACGACCCUGUAAAAGCGCCGUUUGAAAGGAGUAAUGUCGUGAUUGUGGACAAUUACAAUAGCGAAGGUUUAACUUCCUAUGUUUUGGAUAAGAGAACGAACACCGGCAACGCCGCCGCAAAAAAAGCUUAUAGCUUCGAUACCAAUACGUGCAUCAACAUUGCCAACUACCAAUAUGCAUCCGAUGCCUCAUCGGGAGAUGAAAAGUGCCCUGCUGAUAGGAGUGGGAUAAACACUAUUGAUUGUUUAAUGCCGGCCCAUGCAGACCCUGUAACAGAGGA